UCGCCGUAUUCCUUGAAAGGGGUUAUUCUUUGGGUCAUUUGCAAUGAUUUAAGUCCAGUCAACCAGGGGUCAAAACUCAUUGGUUUUCAAGUUAUUUGAGUUUUUAGUUUUUUGUUUAAAAAACCUGCCUGUCGACUAAAAAGUGGUAAUUGUGAGAAAACUACUCAAAUUUGGAAUUAAAAAAAGCAUUCAUCUAAUAGCCAAUAAACUACUGAUUACGUGAAAUAAAAAAAGAUUGCCAAAACUUUCCAAAAUUAAAAAAAAAAAAGGAUUUGAAGUCACAAUUUUUUGUAAUUGUCCCAAGACUUUGUAACAUUUUAAGGCAUUACUUAAUUUCUCUUAAAGUUUUUAAAAUAAUAAUAAUAGUUAAUAGCAGAGCAGGCGGAAGACUUGACCUACCGCCUGCACUGCUAUUAUUAUUAUAAUGUUACAAAGUCUUGGGAAAAUUACAAAAAAUUGUUACUUCAAAUCCUUUUUUUUGGCAAGUUUUGGCAAUCUUUUUUUAUUUCACGUAAUCAGUAGUUUACUGGCUAUUAGAUGAAUGCUUUUUUUAAUUCCAAAUUUGAGUAGUUUUUUCACAAUUACCACUUUUUAGUCGAAAGGCGGGUUUUUUAAACUAAAAACUCAAAUAACUUGAAAACCAAUGAGUUUUGACCCCUGGUUGACUGGACUUAAAUCAUUGCAAAUGACCCAUAGAAUAACCCCUUUCAAGGAAUACGGCGAAUUUCCAAUCACCCUGUACAAUAGUAACGAAUUGACAAGCAAUGACGAGGACAAACUAGCUUUUCCGAUCACAAUCCACACAUUAUUUCAAAAUAAUUUAAAGGACCUAUAAACGUAAUGAAAAGAAGUACACAUGAACGCAAUCUGAUUAAUUUAAUUAUCAAACGCUCAUUGUUGCAUAAUGAAAUCCUGCGUCGAAUCACGAUAUAGCACAUAUUUGCGCUGUACCACCGAUAGCGGCCGACAAAACAAAACCAGACUCUGGAAUUAUCGACUAUUUUAAAAGCUAUUUAUUUGCAUACAGUCAAUUUUUCAUCACACUUGCUCGCAAAUUGUUGAAGAGGCUAGAAAGUGACCAAUAAAUGGACGAGUUAGUUUGAGCCUUCGAAGAUACAAGUCUACGUAUCUAUUACACUUUCGGCGGAGUCAUUAGAAUAAAGUGCUAUUUUACAACUAAUCGUAAAUCGCUAAUCGUUUUACGAAAGUCGACACUUUCAUAUUCUUACUUAUCUUAAAUCAAAAUUCAAAACGGCCAACCUUGCAGUCGUGUUCAUUUCUGUACCUAUGCAUUACCAAUACAGAAAUUGCCACUUUACAACUAUUUUCACUUGAAUUAUGCAUUUUAACAACUAAUCUCAUAAUUGGAUCGUCUCAAAAAAUUACAUACUUACAUCAUGCGAACCUGCCGCCUAUUUGUAUUUAUUUUCUAACUAUACUUUAACGCUUAAACGCGCUUUAUAAGACGAGUUUCAGGACCUAUAAACAACCUUUCAUAUUAGAAUGAAAAGCACUACCAUAAAUUAUCUAAUAAACUUCGUGCGUUGAGUUGGUCAAGUCAAGUGCCAACCAAUCAGUGAGUUGAAAGUAAAAGUGUAGUACAAUAUGCUUAUAGUACAACUAAAACAUUGUUGGACUGUUUGGUUCAAGGGGCCCCGAAUAAAGACGACACACGUUUGCGCUAAGACAACGAAACGGUCUCUCUCUAUCACUCUUAUGCGAUACCGAACGAUCGUCAUCUUCGCUACGGGCGCAGCUAAACGCUCUUUCUAUAGUCAAGAUUUAGACUAUCUUAUCUAUUGCUACAUUUCCGAGCAGGGGCGUGAAAAACAUGUUAUUCCACAGGGAAAUAAUGAAAUUUUGCAGCAACUUUGACGAGUGGAUUUUUUUGUUAAAAAAGUUAACUGUGUCCUCGUGAGGCCGAAGCCAUUUUAUGCUGUUUUGAAUUUGGAACUUUCUUUUAUUUCUAAGAGUUCAAAACUCGAAUUUAAUUUGUACCUGUACAAGUACGCCGACGCGUACUGUACAGUCAACUUUAAUUUCCGACCCAUUUUGUACCUUGUCACAGUGACAAAACAAUGAGGUCUCUAGCGACUUUCAUAUUAACACCGAAAAAAAUAUUUUUCUACAAUACUACCAGGACGCAUAUAGUAGGUAGUUAAAAAUAUAGUAACACCUACUAAAACCCGGUAGUAAUAACAAAAAAUGUUGUAUCGUGUAAAACUUGUUUUUUAAACAUCACUGUUUAAUUCUAGUUAAAUGAAAUUUAGUACUGCUUACAAUUUCGUUAUAUAUGUAAAGAUGCAAGUGUUGUAAAUAUUAAACGUUUAGACCUACAGCAGGCGUGGCUCACUCCGCGAUUUCGUCGCUUUGCUACAGGUACCUAAAAGUACAUCAGUUCGGCCCCAAUUUUGGGGUUUGCCAUAAGCCGCGCGUGGCGCUGUCGCCACCUAGCGACCAUAUCUGUGCUGAUCGUAACAGACGCGUUUUGUUAGAGAGUGAGUCUUCUGUACCUAGUACUAUUAUUUAUUCUGUGCCUAUAGACAAUUUAGUACAGCUAACCAGAUUCUGGUUACCAGUACCAGGUUUUUUUUCAGUGAAUUGUCACUGUGACAGGGUACGAAAUGGGUCGGAAAUUUAAUUUUUUGACUGUACAUUUAAGUCCCCACUGAGUGCAUUACUAAUAGAAGUUAUUCAAAACAUAUUUUAUCUUGAAUAUGUACAUAAUCAGAAAACGUAAAUUGACAGUAGCGGACGUGUAUUUCAUGAGAUUAGAUAGUUGUCGUUUACUAUCUUUUAUGACUAAAUUAUUGUUAUUUACGCGAUUUUAUGUUUUCUUAUUUAUUUUUAUAUAAAUAGGUAGGUGGGUAGGUGGUCACAUGGCGUAUAAAGUCUUUGCCUUAAUACCUACAGCCUACGCUACGUGCAAAAAAUGAGGAAUCAAUAAAUUUUCUUGUAAUUAACUUUUAUUUUUGCGUACAAAUGUGAGUAAAGAUGUAGUGCAUAAUUGUUUUCCAUCGUAUUUUCUCGAAAACGUCCGUAUGUGUCAUGUUAUUUCAGUCAACCUCAGUACUUUUUGUACCGAGACUGACUGAAAUAGCAAGACACGUUCUUACGUUUCCGUGAAAAUACGAUGGAAAAUAAUUAUGCACUACAUCUAUAUGUAUUUACUUGCAAGUGUGAUGAACUGAUGAAAAACAUUGUACAUAGCUCGUGUCGUGAAUUAUUUUAUUAGACUCUAGUUUGUAAUAAUACUCUCACCCUCGACGUUGCACGAUGUAUACUAAUUUCAACGUUAAGAAAAAAAAAAUUGUUGGAAAUUUUGGUUUUUAAUAUUAUCUACAUACAAGUCGA